rnacentral:rRNA from 1 species
AACGUCGCAAGACCAAAGAGGGGGACCUUCGGGCCUCUUGCCAUCGGAUGUGCCCAGAUGGGAUUAGCUAGUAGGUGGGGUAAAGGCUCACCUAGGCGACGAUCCCUAGCUGGUCUGAGAGGAUGACCAGCCACACUGGAACUGAGACACGGUCCAGACUCCUACGGGAGGCAGCAGUGGGGAAUAUUGCACAAUGGGCGCAAGCCUGAUGCAGCCAUGCCGCGUGUAUGAAGAAGGCCUUCGGGUUGUAAAGUACUUUCAGCGGGGAGGAAGGGAGUAAAGUUAAUACCUUUGCUCAUUGACGUUACCCGCAGAAGAAGCACCGGCUAACUCCGUGCCAGCAGCCGCGGUAAUACGGAGGGUGCAAGCGUUAAUCGGAAUUACUGGGCGUAAAGCGCACGCAGGCGGUUUGUUAAGUCAGAUGUGAA